rnacentral:rRNA from 1 species
UACGUAGGGGGCGAGCGUUGUCCGGAAUUACUGGGCGUAAAGUGUGCGCAGGCGGCCGCGCAAGUCGAGUGUGAAAGCCCCGAGCUUAACUUGGGAAUUGCGCUCGAAACUACGUGGCUGGAGUGUGGCAGAGGAAGGUGGAAUUCCACGUGUAGCGGUGAAAUGCGUAGAGAUGUGGAGGAACACCGAUGGCGAAGGCAGCCUUCUGGGCCAACACUGACGCUCAUGCACGAAAGCGUGGGGAGCAAACAGG